AUACGGAGGGUCCAAGCGUUAUCCGGAAUCAUUGGGUUUAAAGGGUUCGUAGGCGGGUCAAUAAGUCAGAGGUGAAAUCUUGCAGCUUAACUGUAAAAUUGCCUUUGAAACUGUUGACCUUGAAUUACUGUGAAGUGGUUAGAAUGUGUAGUGUAGCGGUGAAAUGCUUAGAGAUUACAUAGAAUACCGAUUGCGAAGGCAGAUCACUAACAGUAUAUUGACGCUGAUGAACGAAAGCGUGGGUAGCGAACGGGAUUAGAAACCCCGGUAGUCC
rnacentral:rRNA from 1 species